rnacentral:rRNA from 1 species
GACGAACGCUGGCGGCGUGCUUAACACAUGCAAGUCGAACGGAAAGGCCCUGCUUUUGUGGGGUGCUCGAGUGGCGAACGGGUGAGUAACACGUGAGUAACCUGCCCUUGACUUUGGGAUAACUUCAGGAAACUGGGGCUAAUACCGGAUAGGAGCUCCUGCUGCAUGGUGGGGGUUGGAAAGUUUCGGCGGUUGGGGAUGGACUCGCGGCUUAUCAGCUUGUUGGUGGGGUAGUGGCUUACCAAGGCUUUGACGGGUAGUGGCCUGAGAGGGUGACCGGCCACAUUGGGACUGAGAUACGGCCCAGACUCCUACGGGAGGCAGCAGUGGGGAAUAUUGCACAAUGGGCGGAAGCCUGAUGCAGCAACGCCGCGUGCGGGAUGACGGCCUUCGGGUUGUAAACCGCUUUCGCCUGUGACGAAGCGUGAGUGACGGUAAUGGGUAAAGAAGCACCGGCUAACUACGUG